rnacentral:rRNA from 1 species
UACGUAGGGUGCAAGCGUUGUCCGGAAUUAUUGGGCGUAAAGCGCGUGUAGGCGGCUUUGCAAGUCGGAUGUGAAAGCCCUCGGCUCAACCGAGGAAGUGCGUUCGAAACUGCAGAGCUUGAGUGCCGGAGAGGGUGGCGGAAUUCCCCAAGUAGAGGUGAAAUUCGUAGAUAUGGGGAGGAACACCGGUGGCGAAGGCGGCCGACC